AUUGAAACACCAGUUCUUGUACAAUUACCGAAGUUAAGCAACAUCGAGCCUGGUCAGUACCUAGAUGGGUGACCGCUUGUGCAUCCCAAGUGCUGUAAG